rnacentral:tRNA from 1 species
GUCGGGGUAGCGCAGAGACGUAGCUCGUCGGGCUCAUAACCCGGAGGUCGCAGGUUCGAAUCCUGCCCCCGCUACCA